UGGGGGAAUAUUGCACAAUGGGCGCAAGCCUGAUGCAGCCAUGCCGCGUGUGUGAAGAAGGCCUUCGGGUUGUAAAGCACUUUUGGCGGGGACGAUGAUGACGGUACCCGCAGAAUAAGCCCCGGCUAACUUCGUGCCAGCAGCCGCGGUAAGACGAAGGGGGCUAGCGUUGUUCGGAAUUACUGGGCGUAAAGCGAGUGUAGGCGGUUGCCGUAGUCAGGUGUGAAAGCCUUGAGCUCAACUCAAGAAAUGCACUUGAUACUGGGUGACUAGAGGACCGGAGAGGAUAGUGGAAUUCCCCAGUGUAGUGGUGAAAUACGUAGAGAUUGGGAAGAACACCAGUGGCGAAGGCGGCUAUCUGGACGGUUACUGACGCUAAGACUCGAAAGCGUGGGGAGCAAACAGGAUUAGAUACCCUGGUAGUCCACGCCGUAAACGAUGGGUGCUAGACGUUGGCGAGCUUGCUCGUCAGUGUCGCAGCUAACGCG
rnacentral:rRNA from 1 species